rnacentral:tRNA from 1 species
GCCUUGGUGGUGUAGUGGUCAGCACACUCGGCGCGUAUUCGAGAGAUCCGAGGUUCGAGUCCCGGUGAAGGCA